CCUGGGGCGGUGGCGGCAGGCGCGGCGCGCGGGGCCCUGGGCAGCUAUCGGUGCCCGCAGGGCCGCGCCCUGCUGCCGGCCUUGGCGCGCGUAUGUUAGGACGGGCGCAUCCUCGGAGGGAGGCGGCCGGCACCCCGCAGGCACGACAGCCCAGAGAAUUCCAAAGUCCCAAAUUCCAAAUGACCAAUGAUCUGGACAUUGACUACGCCAAGAUGUCAGAGGUCUCACUCCUGACCCCACCCCCUGCUCAGCAUGGUGACCCAGGACACUGCCAGUUAAAGGAACUGUACUCCCUGCCUCGGUCUUGAUGAGAGUCAAGCCUUUCUUUGACUUCCAGAGUCAGCUGUCUAGUUGAAGCUGAGCUGGUUAAGACUGCAUGGGACCCCGACCCUUCAACGGGACCUGCUCCAGUGUCCGCUCAGUGACCUUUUGAAUCUGCAGAGGCGGGCAGCUUAGUUAUGGCUGCACAGAGCUGCGAUUAUCACACCUUUUCCCAAUCACCUUUCCCCACGCUGUAUUCUUUAGCCCCUAAAUACCCCGAGGCCAGCUUUCGGGAGGCGGAUUUGAGAUUUGGUCUGCAAUCUUCACGCUUGGCUGCCUGACAAAAUAAACGAAUAAACAGUCUCUUAGGGCUUUCCUGGUGGCGCAGUGGUUGAGAGUCCGCCUGCCGGUGCAGGGGACACGGGUUCGUGCCCCGGUCCGGGAAGAUCCCACAUGCCGCGGAGCGGCUGGGCCUGUGAGCCAUGGCCGCUGAGCCUGCGCGUCCGGAGCCUGUGCUCCGCAACAGGAGAGGCCACAGCAGUGAGAGGCCCGCGUACAGCAAAAAAAAAAAAAAAAAAAA